UCAUCACCUUGAAAAACCAGUUUCCAUAUGAUCACUGAAGUUAAGCAACAUUGAACCUGGUCAGUAUCUAGAUGGGUGACCACUUGGGAAUAUCAGGAGCUGUA